UACGUAGGGCGCAAGCGUUGUCCGGAAUUAUUGGGCGUAAAGAGCUCGUAGGCGGCCUGUUACGUCUGCUGUGAAAUCCCGGGGCUUAACCCCGGGCCUGCAGACGAUACGGGCAAGCUAGAAUUCGGUAGGGGAGACUGGAAUUCCUGGUGUAGCGGUGAAAUGCGCAGAUAUCAGGAGGAACACCGGUGGCGAAGGCGGGUCUCUGGGCCGAUACUGACGCUGAGGAGCGAAAGCGUGGGGAGCGAACAGG
rnacentral:rRNA from 1 species